AAGACAUGGCACAUAUUCGUCAUCUGAAGUGGAUUCUGAAUCAUCACACUUUUUUUUUUGCCCUUUAGCAGGUGCCGUGACUUAGUGUGGUUAGAUGAGGCAGGACUCAACAUGUGUUUGUUAAGGAAAAUCCAAGAAUCAUUGUCAAAGUCCGUAGGUCAGAAAACGAAAACAAGAGCAAGAGUCAAAAGCAGGAAACGCGAGAUAAUGCUUGGCAAAAAAUAAUAAUAAAUAAACUAAUCCAAGGCUUAACAGAACAGGUGAACACUGUAGGGUAACCAACCAAUAGCAGGACAGGAUGGAGACAGGGCUAGAAUAGAAAACAACAGCACAGGGAAAAGUAAACAAAAGCACAUGAUUUGAACCCAAAACAAAGGCAGAGAGAUAGGGAAAUUAGUAACAGGUUCAUUGGAUAAUUAAGGGUUCUUCGCUUCCAAAGAAGGCUGAGGAUCUGAGUGACUUUGACAAGGGCCAAAUUGUGAUGGUUAGAUGACUGGGUCAGAGCAUCUCCAAAACAACAAGUCUUGUGGGGCGUUCCCAUCAUGCAGUGGUUAUUACCUACCAAAAGAGCUCCAAGGAAAGACAACCAGUGAACCGGUGCAAAAGUUAAUACUGGCUAUGACAGAAAGGUAUCAGAACACACAGUGCGCGUAGCCAGAGACCAGUCAGAGUGCCCAUGCUGACCCCUGUUCAUCACCGAACGCAACUACAAUGGUCACAUAUGUGCGUCACUUACCUGAGGAAGCGAUAGCACCAGGAUGCACUAUAGGAAGAAGACAGUAUGAUGCUCUGGACAGUAUUCUGUUGAGAAAACGUGGGUCCUGGUAUCUAUGUGGAUGUUACUUCGUACCACCUACAUAAACAUUGCAGACAGAGUACAUGUCACGGUUUCCUCUUUAAGCAGCACGCUGGAGAGCAUGUGGGCGCGUGCACGAGUACCUGCUUCUCGUUUGGUGACAAUCGUGACAUUGGACACAUGCAUUUUCGUUAUGUGUCAGUUAUGUCUCCUCCCUGUUCUGGCUGUUAUUUCACAUGUCUAGAUUGUGUCAGCCCUCAG
ensembl:lncRNA